CCCUACGGGACGCAGCAGUGGGGAAUAUUGCACAAUGGGGGAAACCCUGAUGCAGCGACGCCGCGUGAGUGAAGAAGUAAUUCGUUAUGUAAAGCUCUAUCAGCAGGGAAGAAAAUGACGGUACCUGAGUAAGAAGCCCCGGCUAACUACGUGCCAGCAGCCGCGGUAAUACGUAGGGGGCAAGCGUUAUCCGGAUUUACUGGGUGUAAAGGGAGCGUAGACGGCUGUGCAAGUCUGGAGUGAAAGGCGGGGGCCCAACCCCCGGACUGCUCUGGGAACUGUAUGGCUGGAGCGCAGGGGAGGUA
rnacentral:rRNA from 1 species